rnacentral:rRNA from 1 species
UUUGAUCCUGGCUCAGGACGAACGCUGGCGGCGUGCCUAAUACAUGCAAGUAGAACGCUGAAGGAGGAGCUUGCUUCUCUGGAUGAGUUGCGAACGGGUGAGUAACGCGUAGGUAACCUGCCUGGUAGCGGGGGAUAACUAUUGGAAACGAUAGCUAAUACCGCAUAAGAGUAGAUGUUGCAUGACAUUUGCUUAAAAGGUGCAAUUGCAUCACUACCAGAUGGACCUGCGUUGUAUUAGCUAGUUGGUGGGGUAACGGCUCACCAAGGCGACGAUACAUAGCCGACCUGAGAGGGUGAUCGGCCACACUGGGACUGAGACACGGCCCAGACUCCUACGGGAGGCAGCAGUAGGGAAUCUUCGGCAAUGGACGGAAGUCUGACCGAGCAACGCCGCGUGAGUGAAGAAGGUUUUCGGAUCGUAAAGCUCUGUUGUAAGAGAAGAACGAGUGUGAGAGUGGAAAGUUCACACUGUGACGGUAUCUUACCAGAAAGGGACGGCUAACUACGUGCCAGCAGCCGCGGUAAU